CCUACGGGAGGCAGCAGUAAGGAAUAUUGGUCAAUGGACGCAAGUCUGAACCAGCCAUGCCGCGUGAAGGAUUAAGGCCCUCUGGGUUGUAAACUUCUUUUAUAGGGGACGAAAAAAGGGCAUUCUUGCUCACUUGACGGUACCCUAGGAAUAAGCACCGGCUAACUCCGUGCCAGCAGCCGCGGUAAUACGGAGGGUGCAAGCGUUAUCCGGAUUUACUGGGUUUAAAGGGUGCGUAGGUGGGUUGGUAAGUCAGUGGUGAAAUCUUCGAGCUUAACUCGGAAACUGCCAUUGAUACUAUCAAUCUUGAAUCAUCUAGAGGUAAGCGGAAUAUGUCAUGUAGCGGUGAAAUGCUUAGAUAUGACAUAGAACACCAAUUGCGAAGGCAGCUUACUAUGGAUGCAUUGACACUGAGGCACGAAAGCGUGGGGAUCAAACAGGAUUAGAUACCCUGGUAGUCCACGCCCUAAACGAUGGAUACUCGACAUUUGUGAUAUACAAUAAGUGUCUGAGCGAAAGNAUAAUAUACCACCNGGAGACGACGCGAGUAGUAAGUAAGUAAGUAGAGCGNGAGAGAGACGAGACGACGACGAGGGAGGAGG
rnacentral:rRNA from 1 species